rnacentral:rRNA from 1 species
AUUGAACGCUGGCGGCAUGCCUUACACAUGCAAGUCGAACGGUAACAGGUCUUCGGAUGCUGACGAGUGGCGAACGGGUGAGUAAUACAUCGGAACGUGCCCGAUCGUGGGGGAUAACGGAGCGAAAGCUUUGCUAAUACCGCAUACGAUCUACGGAUGAAAUCAGGGGACCGCAAGGCCUUGCGUGGACGGAGCGGCAGAUGGCAGAUUAGGUAGUUGGUGGGAUAAAAGCUUACCAAGCCGACGAUCUGUAGCUGGUCUGAGAGGACGACCAGCCACACUGGGACUGAGACACGGCCCAGACUCCUACGGGAGGCAGCAGUGGGGAAUUUUGGACAAUGGGCGAAAGCCUGAUCCAGCCAUGCCGCGUGCAGGAUGAAGGCCUUCGGGUUGUAAACUGCUUUUGUACGGAACGAAAAGACUCUUUCUAAUAAAGAGGGUCCAUGACGGUACCGUAAGAAUAAGCACCGGCUAACUACGUG